rnacentral:rRNA from 1 species
GGAUUAGAAACCCCGGUAGUCCACGCCGUAAACGAUGGGCACUAGGUGUGGGAGGUGUCGACUCCUCCCGCGCCGACGCUAACGCAUUAAGUGCCCCGCCUGGGGAGUACGGCCGCAAGGCUAAAACUCAAAGGAAUUGACGGGGACCCGCACAAGCAGCGGAGCAUGUGGUUUAAUUCGACGCAACGCGAAGAACCUUACCUGGGCUUGACAUGUUGGUGACCGGUGUGGAAACACAUCUUUCCUUCGGGACACCAUCACAGGUGGUGCAUGGCUGUCGUCAGCUCGUGUCGUGAGAUGUUGGGUUAAGUCCCGCAACGGGCGCAACCCCUGUCCUAUGUUGCCAGCAUUUAGUUGGGGACUCAUGGGAGACUGCCGGUGACAAACCGGAGGA